rnacentral:lncRNA from 1 species
AGAAAUUGGUGAAAAAAAUAAUCUGACAACCAAUGGACAAGAAAACUGAGCACAUAAAAACCAAGCUGAAAGAAAACCUUUACAGCAGUUAGCAAGAUUUUAGUAAUCAAUUCAUCUUAAAUCAGUUGAAUAGAAAGUAUAGCUUCAUAACUCACAACGGCUCAAAAGUUCAAGUCUAUCCAAUACAUACUGGGCUAAUAAAAAAGGCUUAUGUAGUUCUCAUCAACCUCAUGAAUAUGCGAGUAGAAGAACUUCAAAAUGAAAACCAUCAGCUAACUCUUCCAGAAUCAGAAGUAGAUCCAUAUUUUCCUCUAGUAACCACUACCUGCAUCAAAUGAAGGCACUUAGUAUGCUAUAAAAGUAGCACUGUAUGGUACAACAUAAAAUGAUAAUGAGGAAUGAUUCUAAAGCUCAACUGCUAUACAGUAUACCUAAAUCAUUGCUCUAUCAAAAAACAAAAAGCCUGUUUUCCAAAGAUCAAAUAUAAAAAUGUGUCUGUUAAAACCAUUAUAAUAAGGAAUAAUUCUGAAGCUCAACAUGCUUCAGUAUACCUAAAUCAUUGCUCUAUCAAGAAACAAAAACCCGUUUUCCGAAGAUCAACAAAUGUAUAAAUGUGCGUUAAACCAGGAUAUUUUCCUCCAGGACCAGUGUUGAACUCCUCUUCUUCGUUCUUAGUCUGUCAAUAAAAAGCUUUGCGUAAGCAAAUCUAAGUCCAAAAGAAUUAAGAGCAAAAAAAAAAUUACAUGGAAUCAAAAUUAAAAAGGCAAAUUAAGAAUGAGAAGAUUCAUCAACCUUCAUAUAGAAAUGAGAAACUCAUGCGUCCAUGAUGCUAACAAAUGGAUGUUAGAAUCAAAUCAAAGUCUAUAAAAAUAAAUUGAAAGUUGAAAACAGGAACAAGCAGCCGCAUUAAAACCAAAGAGCAAAAAUAUAAAAAAUUUACAAUUGGAUUUUAUCAAGUGCCUAACUAUUAGAACUACCAUAAUUGACAGGAAAUCAAUUUGAUGUGUGCCAAGAAAUGUCACCAGUUCUGACAUGGUGCAUCUAGCGUAGCAGAUAGCAUGUGCCCACUAACAAAAAUAGCAGUGAAUAGGGAAAUAAGCAUUUGUGUUAGUCUCGUCAGCUAACGAAUUCUAAAAUGGUAUUCGUGCUUCAUCACUAACUGGGAAAAAACAAUACAUGAACAAGCAGCCCAGCAUUUAAAGCAUGAAUUUAUAUAUCAUCAUAGUUAUAGCAAGCCAAAUUUCGUAACUAAAAAUAUCUAAAGAACAGAAGAAAAGAAAAAGAGCAAGAUAAAUCUUACAGGAGCAUCCUCUUCCAUUGGCCUACUGCAAAUACAUGGAAACCAAAAAAAUAUCAGUAAUCACAGCCAAAUUAUAAGAAAAACAGCAAGAACUACAGAAACACCAAAAGAGUUGAUAAACUCCAGUCCCAGUUAGAAGUAAUCAAUAAUUUAUUCUCUUAUCGCCAAGCUGCAAAAAUUAAUUUGGACGUUUUACAUCAACCUCAAAAAGUGAACAUAAAAUAUCUAACAACCUAUCAAUUUCGAAAAUAAAGACUGAAAGUACCAAAAUUUUGGAACGCUCAUAACAAGUCACUGGAGUCCGAUAAAUUCAACCAAGGAUUUUACUUACAAACGAAAACCAAAAUCGUUUACAUUUAAAAUUAAAGCAAAGUUCCUGUUAACUGACCUCAUCUUCGAUUGGUUUCAAGAAUUCCAGAUCAACCAAAAAAACUGCAACAAGAACAACGAUAGCCUUAUUUUCGAGAGAGAAAAAAAAAAGGAAAAUACGGUUUAAAAAAGGAGAAAUCUUAGUAUAAUAAAUAAACAAAUGAACAUUCCGAACGCAUACCGAAGCAAGAGGAAAUCGAAAAGGAUGAAGAAAUGGAGAACUUACCAGUCGAGGUUUUACGUACUAGGGUUUUGGUGAAGUCCCAAUUCCUUCAAAAUUCAAAGGCUAGUUAGACAGGCUCUAGAACCGGAGACAAAAAUACCUAUAUUGACGCGAGACUAUUAAAGUUACGGUUAAUUUAUUUUAUGGUUUGUUAUUAUUUUUAAUUCACGUUCACAAAAUAAAAUAUUUUAUACAUUUUUCUGCUUUCUAAUCCUAUGUUGUUCUAAAAAUACUAUUUAAAACUCAUUUUCUCUCCAAUGAUUAAAGUGAAUCAAACAUGCACUAAAAUCGUGUGAGAAAAUUAUAAGGUAAAUUAUUUCAAGGUUUCCAAUCAUUCAUAAGGUGGUAGUCAUAGCUCAAAUCUUUCAUUUGUAGCAUUUAUUUCUUCAACCUUUUAACACUUACAAAACCCCCCAUCAACGAAAAUAUCUAUUUGAAUGUUAAAUGACUACAUGAUAGUAAGUAUAACUAAAACGGUAAAAUUUUUGAAAAAAAAAAUCUCUACUCCAUAAAUUAAAUAAUUGCGAUUGUUCAACUUAUAUAAAACUAUGCCUUUUUGAAUAAUUUCAACUUUUUAGGCACCAUGUGUUUGUCAUGUGAUCAUUUAACGUCUAAAAAAGAAUUUUUCUGUCAGAUGGGGAUGCCAAUAUGCACGAUGUUAAAAGGUUGGGACAAUUGGUGCUACAAAUAGAAGAUUGGGGAUGUGAAUAUAACACUUGUGAAAGAUUAGGGACUGAUAGCGACAUUUCCAGCAGCCCGAUCACAAAAUUAUCCCAACGACUAUUUUCGAUGAACUUAUAACUCCAACUAUGGAGUCCUCGAGCAUGUGGUGGCCUCAAGACAUUAUGCUCGACCACAUCCUGCAUGGCUGCUUCGCAUAUUGUAAUACUUGUCCUCGAGCAUCAGCAGUCUUCGAGCAUAUGCUCCCCUUAUAACCUACGAUUGUUGACCCUUUAGAAUUCCUACGCAAUUAGGACUCUAACUCAACCAUAUAUUUGGCUCCUGCAAGGAUUCUAUCCCACAUAUAAUUAUGGAAUUUGACCAAUUCCUUAACUAUUCAGGAUUCCAACAGAUAAGGACAUCCAGCUAGUUGAGUCUCACUAGGAGAAUGUCGCUUACUACUAUAAAUACAUACAGAACCUUGAUCCAUUAUUCAGGUACAUUUUUCAUUAUUCUCCAACAUAUAGCAUCACGCAUAUAAUUCCCUUUCUGACUUAAGCAUCGGAGGGGUGACGAGAACACACCUCGUUACUUUUGUUUCAGGUACCGGAAGACUACGAUCGUGAUCAACCUGAAUCAUCAAGCUCGGAAAAUCUGCAGGUACGAAUUUUGGUAGCAUCAUUGGCACCGUCUGUGGGAAACGCUACCAAAAGUCAUGGUUAACACGCGAUCAGGUCUUCCUCCUGCAAGCUCAUCCACUUCCAUCCAUCAUCCUGCCGAAGAUCAACCGGCUCCUCAUGAAGAAUCCUCGGGAGUGCCCACACCUCUGCCAGCAGUUAUUACAAUCGAAGCCUUUGAAGAGCUUCGUCAGUAGGUGGCCACCCUCACGCAACAGUUAAAUCAAAGAAAUUCACAUCCCUGGCCAGUGCAGGUGGAGCAUGGCGGUUUUAUGGCUGAUGCUCGAGCACGACCACCAAACCCAGCAAAUGGCGGAGUUGGAACCUCGAGCAUUCAUAAUAUGGCCUCAAGCUCGAGAUCGGUCGCCAUGAAUUCCAGUGAAAUUGUCUGGAUCAUUCAAGAAGGAAUUAUAGCUGGCCUGCAACGUAAUGCUCGGGGGCCAACAGGCUUCACCCCUAACACUCCAUUCACGCCAAAGAUAUUGACAUAUCCCUUGCCCGACAUAUUCAAGUAUCAUCGCAUUAAAGAGUAUGAUGGGACUACCGACCCCAUCAACCAUCUCAAUGUAUACACUGAUGUCAUGAACUUGCAAGUUGUGCCGAAUCAGUUUAUGUGCAAAGCCUUUCCACAAACGCUGACUAAUGCUGCAAAAUUGGUUCUCGACAUUGGAGCCCCACUCCAUAGCCUCAUUCUCAGAUUUGGCUGAUAAGUUCUCAGACUUCUUUGCAAGUAGCAAGCGAAUUAGGAAGACCGCGGCCUCUCUCAUGCAACUUCGCCAGGGACCAACCGAAACCCUGCGAGGAUUUAUGACAAGGUUCAACAAGGAAAGGCUUCAAAUACUCGACCUCCACAUCACAGCAGCUGUCUCUGUCCUCACUUACGCCAUAAGAUGUGAAGCUUUCAAGAUGUCUUUAUCAAAGACCCCGCCGCAGACAGUGACCGAGCUCCUCACCCAAGCUGAAAAAUACAUCAAUAUGGAAGAAACACUAAAUCCAAGGAGACCUGGUCCUUUUCAUGAAAAGACCGAGGACAAAAGGCAACAUGAUCCCGUCCCUAGGCAUGAGUUCCUCGGGAUAAGCGCAGGAACGAGGUGCCAUCAGCACCUCUCACUCGGUUGAACACGUUUAAGACAAACAUUUUGAUGGAAGUUAAGGAUAUGAAAGAAUUAAAGUGGUCUUCAAGGAUGAAGUUGCCCCUUGACACAAGAGAUAGGAGCAAGUAUUGCGAAUUUCACCGGGAUCAUGAGCAUACUACAGAGGACUAUCAUGCUUUACAGCGAGAAAUUGAAGCCCUUAUCAAAAGAGGAUUUUUAAAGAAUUACAUUGGUCAUGAUAAACGGCCAAGGAAUGACCUGGACAAUCGGAAAGAGCCUGGGGCUGGAAGCAGUGCUCAACCUACUGUCGGAACCAUUAAUAUUAUUGUUGGGGGCAUAGCAUCCGAUGGAGACACAAGUAGUGGGCGGAAGAAGUAUACCCGCCAACAUGCUCAUACCACAAGAGAAUCCAGUGAUGAAGUUAAAGACAUCACUUUUGGUGCAAGAGAUUUGGAAGGAAUAUCAUAUCCUCAUAACGAUGCCUUGGUCGUUUCUGCGGUUGUGGCUAACUUCGAAGUAAGGAGGAUUCUGGUUGAUAAUGGGAGUGCCGCAAACAUACUGUCGCAGGAGGCUUUCGCCAAAAUGGGAAUCUCUCCCAAGCAGCUCAAAGCAGUAAAAACUCCCCUACAAGGAUUUGGUGGUGGAAUCAUUAUCCCUGAACGCAUCGUCGAGCUCCCACUUACAUUAGGAGCUGGUAGUACACAAGUGACGGAGAUCACACCAUUCCAAGUGGUUAACACCCCAAUGGCCUACGACAUCGUUCUGGGAAGACCGCUACUGAACAAGAUCCAGGCUAUUGUGUCAACUUUUCACCUCGCCAUGGAGUUCCCGACAGGUCAUGGCAUCGGAGUAGUUCGAGGAGACCAAACGGCGGCUAGACAGUGCUAUGUUACAAGCAUCUGAGGCAUGAGUGCUGACGUCAUGCAACUCGUAGACCUCAAGCUCGAGCCAAGGGGUAGAUUGGCCCCCGUUGAGGAAUUAGAAGUGGUUGAGCUCGAGCACGGAAAAAUCGUUACUAUUGGUCGGGAUCUAAAGGCCAAUUUUCGGGAGGAAGUCAUUAGUUUUUUGUCUCGUAACAUUGAUGUUUUUGCAUGGAAGGUGGGGGAUAUGCCAGGGAUAGACCCAUAAGUAGCUGUCCAUAAACUUAAUAUCAGCCCAGGGGCCAAACCUGUUAAGCAAAGGAAGAGACAAUUUGCACCGGAAAGACAUGUGAUCAUUCAGGAAGUCGGCAAAUUGUUGGGGGCGGGGUUCAUAAGGGAAGUCCAAUACCCCGAUUGGCUCGCUAAUAUUGUUCUGGUAAAAAAGACCAGCGGUAAGUGGAGGGUCUGCAUUGACUUCACAUAUCUGAAUAAGGCAUGCCCAAAGGACAGCUACCCGCUACCUAGGAUCGAUAAUCUUGUGGAUAGCACAUCCGGACAUAAGCUGUACAGCUUCUUAGAUGCAUUCUCAGGAUAUCAUCAAAUCCUCAUGGCCAAAGAAGACCAAGAGAAGACUUCAUUCAUGGUUGAUUCAGCCAUAUAUUGCUAUAGGGUGAUGCCAUUUGGGUUGAAAAAUGCUGGGCACCAUAUCAGAGGCUCAUCAACAAAGUCUUCGCCGAUUUGAUAGGGAAGAACAUCGAGGCCUAUGUGGAUGACAUGGUUGUAAAAAGUAAGAAGGUGGAGGAACAUAUAUCCGACCUUGAGAAGGUGUUCGCCACCCUAAGAAAAUAUAAGAUGAAGCUCAACCCAGAGAAGUGUGUAUUUGGCGUAGCUUCAGGAAAGUUUCUAGGUUUCAUGAUCACUUAUCGGGGGAUUGAGGCUGACCCCGACAAAAUUCAGGCUCUAGCAGCAAUGGAAUCACCAAGGACCAAGAAAGAGGUUCAAAAGUUGACAGGCAGGGCUGCCUUAAAUAGGUUCAUGUCCUGAGCAGUAGACAGGUGCUUCCCCUUCUUCAAAACCCUCAGGGGUAAUCAUUACUUUGAAUGGAAUGAGGAGUGUGAGAAGGCUUUUCAAGAGCUCAAGCAGACAUUGGAAUCUCCUCCUAUCCUCACCAAACCCGAGCCUGGAGAUACUCUGUAUUUGUACUGAGCCGUAUCUCAGAAUGCAGUGAGUGGUGUCUUGAUGAAAGAGGUUAACAGGGGCAGCAACCCAUUUAUUACGUAAGCAAAGUCUUACUUGAUGCAGAAACAAGAUACACAUUGGCAGAGCAACUUGCCCUUGCACUGAUAGUAGCAUCACGAAAACUUCGGCAAUAUUUCCAGUCACAUCCUAUUAUUGUGCUUACCAAUCAGCCUCUAAAACACAUUCUUCAGAAACCAGACGUCUCAGGAAGAUUAUUAAGGUGGGCAAUUGAACUCGGAGAAUUUGACAUAGAGUUCAAGCCCCAUCCAUCUAUCAAAGGUCAGGCAUUAGCUGACUUCAUUGCAGAACUCACUCCAAGGCCUCGGGGGCCAGAUAGUAGCUCGAGCUUGAGCAUAACUGCGUGGGAAAUUUUCGUAGAUGGAGCAUCGAACUCCUCGAGCUCGGGCACAGGGGUCAUCAUCAUAAGUCCGGGCAUGCUCAUAAACAUUCAGUGUGCACUAAGGUUCGAAUUUGAGGCGACCAAUAAUGAAGUUGAGUAUGAGGCCGUCAUCAUAGCUAUGGAACUCGCCAUAAAUCUCGAGCUUGAAAAUAUCAAAAUUUAUAGUGAUUCCCAGUUGGUGGUUGAGCAAAUCGAAGGGACGUUCGAUAGAAAGGAUGAGAAGAUGAGCUUCUACUGCUUGAAAGUGCAUGAUCUCCAGAGAAAAUUCAAGAGUUGUGAAAUUGUAAAAAUUUCUCGGGUUGAGAAUUGUAGGGCAGAUGCCUUGUCAAGAUUGGUGUUCAUGGGAAUAAAUGGGCUUGAUGGGACAGUCCAUGUCAGAAUUGUAACUGAGUCAAGCAUCAAUCAGACUGUAGGCAUCAUGGAUAUUGAUAAUGAGCCAUCAUGGAUGGAUCCAAUAGUGGACUUCAUAAAACAUGGCAGUCUUCCAACAAAUCUUCGAGCAGCGAGAAGCAUCCGGUCCAAAGCUCCGAGGUAUUGCAUGAUUGAAGGUGUUUUAUUUCACAGGAGCCUCACACUUUCGUACCUCAGAUGCCUUAGGCCUUCCGAAUCAUCCCAGGCCCUAGAAGAAGUUCAUGAAGGUGUAUGAGGGAACCAUCAAGGAGCUCGGGCUUUAGCCUUCAAGCUCAUAAGGUAUGGAUAUUAUUGGCCAACCAUGAAGAAAGACGCCCAGGAAUAUGUCAAAAAGUGUGACAAGUGCCAAAGAUUUGGCAAUGUUAUCCACCCUCCCGCAGAAGACCUCAAUAGCAUUAGUUGCAUAGCCCCAUUUGAGCAGUGGGGAAUUGACAUCCUUGGUCCCUUUCCAAUAAGUAGGGGACAAUUGAAGUUUGUGGCUGUAGCUGUAGAGUAUUUCACUAAGUGGGUAGAGGCUGAACCUUUAGCAACAAUUUCAGAGCCGAAGUUAAGAAGUUUCAUUUGGAGAUCCAUCAUAUGCAGGUUCGGGAUAUCGAAAGUCCUCAUAAUUGAUAAUGACAGGCAGUUUGACAAUGCACAAUUUAAAAUCUUUUGUACCGACCUAGGUGUUGAUCACAGUUUGACGUCGGUUUCCCAUCCUCAAAGUAAUGGUUUCGCCGAAGUGACCAAUCGGAUUAUAUUGCAAGACCUCCGUACAAGGAUCGACGAUGCAAGAGGUUCCUGGUCUGACGAGUUGCCUUCCAUACUUUGGACGUAUAGAACGUCACACAAAAUUGCUACAGGGGAAACCCCCUUCAUGUUGGCUUUUAGAAUUGAGGCCACCAUCCCUGUUGAAGUCAGGUUGCCCAGCCAAAGGAGGCUCGAGCCCGAAGAUGCAGGGCGCACAACUGAACACCUCGACCUCUUGGAAGAAGUUCGUGAUUGGGCAGCUUUAAAAAUGGCCUCCUACCAGGAUAAAAUAGCAAAGUACUUCAAUAAAAAAGUAAGGACACAGAGAUUUAGAGCCAGAGACCUUGUGUUAAGAAGGGCUGAAACAGCAGGUCAUGCCCCGGGCAAGCUAGGACCAGUUUGGAAAGGGCCCUUCGAAGUCAUACGACAGCUCCAAGGAGGCACAUACAGUUUAAGGAAAGGCCGCUUCAAGACCAUGGAACGCAGAGAAUUUAAAGAUAUAUUACAAGUAACUUGGUCUUCCAGUUAUCGGUAGUCAGGCCUGCGUAUCAAGGUUCACGUUUUCACUUGUUAGGCCUGCGUGCCAAGGUUCACGUUUUUAGUUGUCAGGCUUGCGUGCCAAGUCUGUUUUUGAAGUAUAAUAAGAAUCAAGCAAUUCGUCAAAAUAUGAUCUAGCUACAAAAAGCCUUGUCUCGCGCAAGCAACUCAAGCUUUGCCUCGUGCAAGCAAUAAAAAAAAAACCUUGCCCCGUGCAAGCAACUAAAGCCUUGUCCCGCGCAAGCAACUCAAGCCUUGCCCCGCGCAAGCAAUCAAAAAAGCCUUGUCCCGCGCAAGUAACUCAAGUCUUGCCCCGCGCAAGCAAUCAAAAAAGCCUUGCCCCACGUAAACAACUAAAGACUUGCCCCGUGCAAGCAAUCAACAAGCCUUGCCCCGCGCAAGCAUGUCAAGUAACAUUCCCGAUCACACAGUGCCCGAUCAAUGGUAUGAGGGAUCUAUAAAAAGGCCAUUUGCAGUCCUCGGGAACACGCUAUAGGUCGGUACAAUUACGUCGUCAUGCAUGCUCGAGCUCGAUACAUAAUGUUCAUAAAUGAGUUUACAAAUUGAGUCCUCGAGAUAACUUUGUGUAUGCACGAGCUCAAUACAUAAUGUUCAUAAAUGAGUUUACAAAUUGAGUUCUCGAGAUAACUUGUCUACAUGCUCGAGUUCAACACUUGAUGUUCAAAAAUGAUUUUACAAAUUGAGUGCUUGAGAUAUUUAAUUAAUCUAGGCGUCAAGUUGUCAAUUCAUCUUAGGCGUCAAGUUAUUGAACCAUCUUAACGUCGAGCUAUUUGAGUUUGUCAUGAUCGAUACAUCAGCCAUACAUAAUCGCGCAAAAUGAAAAAUACUUGAUCGAGCAAAAUACCAUAAAUGGAACAUUAUCUAAGAUCGAGCAUAAUACUUAUUCAAAAUACAAAAAAAGGGGGGAUGUCAUCAUGAGAAAAAACAUAAACUAAUCUAGGUCCUCGGCUCUUUCUCCCGAGGCCGUGCUCCUCUGCUUUUCCGCCGCGUCCUCACCGUCAAUAUCGACCUCAUGGUCCCCGACGGUUUCCUCAGACUCUGAAAGCUCGAGGUCAUCAGCAACCUCAGGGAUGCUCUUUAAAUCCUCGGGUUUGGCGUCAGGCUUCGACCUCAAAAAUGCCCGAGCCUCUUUGAAAGCGUGGACGUAUGAGCCCAUGGCGUACUCUCCCUUAAGUCCGUUGAACUCCUCGGACAUUUUGAAAUCCUCGAUCGCAACCCCUCGAGCUUCAACCAGGCGAGUUUCGAAAUCAAUCUUCAAACGCUCGAUCUCGAGCUUUUCGAUCUCGCCCUUGGCAACUCCAGCCUCUUCCCGAGCUCUCUGGACGUCGUUCUUCGAGUCCUCGAGCUCCCUCUGGAGGAGGAAGCACUCAGCUUCCAAGUUGACUAUCCUCUUCUCAUGUGCUCGAGAAGUGUCCUCGAGCUCAGUAGUUUUUUGUGCCUCGUCUUUCCCCUUCAGAGAAAGGCCUCGGGCAAUGCUCAGAGCCUGCAUCAUAUAAACCCGAGCUUAAAGCAAUCACAUCGUAUAAACCCAUAAAUUACACCAAGUAAGUUGAGCGAGCUUACCUUCAAAGUGAGAGAUUCAAGAGCCUUCAUACCCUCAUCAAAACUGAGGUCCUUUCGAUACUUGUCCACGAUGCUGGACACCAGGGGACACCGGUCAGGAUCUUGAUUUUGGAAUGAGGGCAUAGAUGGGACCUCAUCCUUAAGAUCAACAACCUCGAGGGCACGCCUUAACCGAGGACGUGACCGAGGUGGGGCAGUUGGAGUCUCAUUGGCCUGUAUGGUCGAGGAUUGUCCCCUGGCAGAAGGUUUCCCUGGCCCAUUCCUAAUAUUCUCGGGGCCUGAAUCUCGAGCUCUCUUCUUCCCUCUCUUUUGACCUGGAGCUCGAGCUUGAGGGGCCUUCGAUUUUUUGGUCACGGCCUGCUUGAGGGCUGAAGGAUCAAAAGUCAUCUCUGCAAAAAACAAGUCAUUUACAUGAGCACAAUUAUACCUUCAAAGACAUAUCAGUAAGGAAGAAGGCAAAAAGAUGAUCCCUACGCUCAGUGCCUUUCACAUCCGCGAGAUCGAGAACGUCAUCCCCGAGGAUGUCAUCUAUAUCAUAUACAAGAGGCUCGAGGUUCUCUAACAUCAUCGUAUGCCUUUCUAAUGACUCAAAAUAGGCCUGACCUUCACAAAACCUGGGAGUAUUGGGCAAAACCCACCUAGGACUAAAAGGAAGGUCACUAUCCUGAGGUGUGACAUAAAACCACUUUUCUUUCCAUCCUUUCAAUGAACUGGGCAUCCUCGGUAAUCUAAAGCCUCCUCAGGAUGAAAGGUAAGCAAAACAGGUAUAUUGAGGUAACUGUUUCAAGUCGAAGACCAUUCUACAAAGAUCGACGUAUGGGUUAAUUCCUAGGUAUCUACAGGCUAUAAAAAAAAUAGGUGAGCAUCAUCCACCCAUUUGGCACAAGCUGUCUAGGGCUCAUGUUAUGGUCGACCAAUAAAGAUACAAAAAGGGAUGCAGAGGCCAUCUAAAUCCCCCCUUAAGUGAGUCCCUAAAAAUCACGAACUCUCCAUCCCGAGCAAAGGCCAUCCUAUCCUCUACCCCUGGCGUCCUAAUAUCACAUUUUGGCAUGAGCCCAUGUUUCCUAGCCGUCGAUAUUGCUAGAUGCUCUUUAAAUUUACCAGGAACCUCGGGGUACCUAAAUGGGGUCGGGAUACUUUGUGCUCGAGGUUCGGCAUUAAUUGGGACGGCCAUAGGUAUGAUCGAGCAUCCUAUGUCCUCGGAAAUACUCCUCGAGGAGGAGAACGAAGACUCAGUACUACUACUGCUAGACAUCCUGACCUAGGUAAAAAAGUGCCUAAAGAAUAACUUAAAAACUCGAGGUCUUACCUUAAAGUCGACGCCUAAAAACUCAAAGUUCUGAUCCCGACGAUUAGCAAGAGAAGUUUACUGAGAGUAAAAAGUGAAAAAUGAAAUGUGGAGAGGGUAUUUAUAGGCAACAGAAGCGGGUAGUCCAAAGGUCACUAUCCCGACCGUCAGAUCUGGCCACGUGUCCUACAUCCACCCCCUGCCAUUUUUUACCGUCUUUUCCUAUUUAGGGCUUACCUCAGUACACGUCAGCCCUUCUGAACACCUGUCAUCGAAAACAUCCUCGAGCUAAAUUCCCGACCUCUUAACACCUAUCAUUGAAAACAUCCUCGAGUUAAAUUCGCGACAUCUUAUUUCCAGUCUCUUUGCAUCAUAUCCUCGAGCGAAGGCUUCGAGCAUAUAUGCACGGGGGCCAAUGAUAGCGACAUUUCCAGCAGCUCGAUCACAAAAUUAUCUCGAUGACUAUUUUCGAUGAACUUAUAACUCCAACUAUGGAGUCCUCGAGCAUGUGGUGGCCUCGAGACAUUAUGCCCGACCACAUCCCGCCUGGCUGCUUCGCAUAUUGCAAUACUUGUCCUCGAGCAUAUGCUCCCCUCACAACCUACGAUUGUUGACCCUUUAGAAUUCCUACGCAAUUAGGACUCUAACUCAACCAUAUAUUUGACUCUUGCAAUGAUUCUAUCCCACAUAUAAUUAUGGAAUUGACCAACUCCUUAACUAUUCAGGACUCUAACAGAUAAGGACAUCCAGCUAGUUGAGUCCCACUAGGAGAAUGUCGCUUACUACUAUAAAUACAUACAGAACCUUGAGCCAUUAUUCAGGUACGUUUUUCAUUAUUCUCCAGCAUAUAGCAUCACGCAUAUAAUUCCCUUUCUGAUUUAAGUAUCGGAGGGGCGACGAGAACAUACCUCGUUGCCUUUGUUUUAGGUACUGGAAGACUACGAUCGUGAUCAACCCGAAUCAUCAAGCUCGGAAAAUCUGCAGGUACGAAUUUUGGUAGUAUCAGGGACCUUUAGAAGAAUUUACCCAAAUUUAUAUACCAAUUCUUCAAUUAGCAUAUAAGUUCUCAACGCUUGCCUGGAAAAGAACGUGUACACAAUAUGAAAAUUUUGGAUAUUGCAAAAAGAUAAGUAUGGUUUUAAGAAAAUAUUUAGCCCUUAUUGGAUUUUGAUUAUGGUGAAAAUAAGAUAUUAAUAAUUGAUAAACAAUUGAAUUAAGACUAGUCAGUAAAUGUCCCUUAAUUAAGAAUAAUGUUGGUCCUAAUGUAUCCAUCUAGGUGGCUAUUCUUUGUAUGUUCAACUAAAUGAGUCAUGCGACUUUGUAUUUAAAUAAAUUCAUAAUUUAAUGUCAUGUUAUAGUCAUCUAAACUGAUACUUAAUACCAGUUGUAGUAAUGAAUAACAUUACUCCAUAAUUAAACUCAUCUUUAUAGUGAAAUUGCAAUUCUACCAAAAGCUCAUGAAUAGGAAGAGCAAAAUUUGUUGAAAUCGAGAUUGUCCUUUGAUUUUUCACUACAUGCCAAAAACAAAUUUUCAAAUGGUGAGUUAACAUCUUAAAUAUUAGGACCAUGCUACAUAUAUCAAUUUUUUUUACCUAAUCUCUUACUGACUAUUCACAAUAAAGGGAUGGGGACCACAUUUUAGAAUUUUUUUUAUUCACGUGAAUCUAACGUGCAUGUGAGUGAGAGUAAACAAUUCGGUACACAUUUGAGUGUACAUAUAGAAUUAUUCUAAAUAUUAUGGAAUCGUACAUCAUCAUUUAUACGUUCUUUUACAAAUUAAUGAUGUGGCGAUAAAUUAAAUUAAACUGUAAAAAUCUCUUCAUCACUUAAACGAUUAUGCCUAUGUAAUGUGGGUUUAAAAAAAUAAAAAAUUGAUAAGAUUUUGACUUGAUCAAAUCUUACCACAUCAUCUGUUGGUUGAAUUGUGAUGGACAUGUAGCAUAAUUGAAGUAUUAUUAUUAGAACAAUACUAACAUUCUUUUAUUCAAGUCCUACUCUUCUUUAAAUUUCCUUACUCUUGAGAUUUGCCAACAAAAUAUGAAAGUUCAGAUCUUAGAUUUCUACAUAAUACUCAAUUCAUGUGUUUCCAACGCUAAAACUGACGUCAAAUCUGUAAAACAAUAGACAUUUCAACCAAAAUUAAAGAUAGAAAAACGUGUUAAUUACAAAUGUUACUUUAAUAAAUUCAGAGGAGUUAGUAUAUAAAAGUAUAAAUGAGAAAAAGUAAUUUACUCAGUGGAGUCCGUAUAUAAAAAGUUACUAACAUUCGAGUAACUUUUAAGCUUAGCCAAACAUACAAUUCAGAAUAGAACAUCUUUCAAAACCACAAAACACAAUAAGACAUUAUCAAUCUCAACUAGAAAAUUAGUAGACAUUGAGAGAUGCCAGAACCUUUACAAUACAUUGAACUCCAGACGAUUAAAAAAUAUAGGCUUUCUGAUUUCAACCUUACACUGCAACUUAAAAUAAUUCGGUUCACAAAUGAGUACCAUAUUAUGUAAAGAGACACAGAUUUUGCUCUCAAUGAGAACUAAAAAGAGACUGAAAAUCCAAUUGUGUGGAUUUCAUUAGAAAAUGGAAAAUACUAUACAGAUAUAAUCUUCUCUUAUUGUUUAAACAUAUGGCUAACAGAACCCAAAUGAACUGCUUCCAGACGAGACAAACAAACGUAAAAAAAAGGGACACGAACUGGCUUAAUAAUGGUACAACUAUGGUCAGACUUCUUUUUGCUCCACAACUAAUGUGAGAAAACAGAGCCCCAUUUCAGUAACGAAAAAGCUACAGACCUGAAUGGACAGUAGGAUACAAAAGAAAAUGACGUCUCAAUUCCCAUUUUACUUUUCAUCUACUAUCUCCUUAGGCUGCAGAACCGGUACAAGCUGUGACCGGAACAUCACUUUGUUGUUUCACAGAACUGUAUUUCUGAGUGAUGAAUCUGAAACCAGAAAACAGGAAAAUCUGCGCAGAUUCCUAAGAGUUGCAAUCCAUAUUUAACAUACAAGCAGGAAUGUUAAAAGGGAUGGGAAGGCCGGCUGGCUAAGAUAAAUAUAUAGAUUUCUUAAGGAAUGCAAGGGCAUUGGCCUCUCCAUUAAGAUAAACGAAAAAUAUCCGUCAGCCCUAAAGUAUGCUUGGCCACAGUUCUAAACCGUGCAGGCCUGCCCUGCCCUUUCUACACCCCUACUUACAAGGUUCUAUAUGAUAUGGAGCUGUAAUGAUACUCAACAAACAUACAAAAUCCAAGAAUGCUCAAAAGAGCUAGAUUGUAGAGUUACCUAAAGAAAUCCCUCCACAGAAGCUCAUACAUCAACCAGUUCAUGCCAGUAUCUGAUGAGCUACUACCAGCAUCUUUCUUGUUGAAGGCAGCAGAGAUUACACUGAAAAUCACAGGCAUUUAUUAAAUUGAGGAAGCACGUAUCCGCCUCAGGGGAACUUGUAAAAGAAGAGGAAACAAAAUGAGUUACUUUAGCAUAACCGAAGUACUUAAGCUCAUCAAACAUGGAGAGUGGAGAAAGGCAUCCCAUAGCAAGCCAUGGGGAGAUUUUGCAAGAAAAGUUUGCACCAAAUAUGCUCUCGUUGGCCCUAUUCUCGGAUCCCUUGAGUGGUUUUCCUUUGCGUUUGCCUGCAAAUUUUCUCAGCCUCUACAAUGCUUCAGUCUCUCCCCCCAUAGAAGAAGCAUCAACAGCUGUUUUUCCAUUCUAUAAAAUGAGAAAAUAUAAUGUUAAUUUAAAGGAAAAAUAGAUAAAACUUCCUCCUCGUAGUUACACGUCUCAUCUCAAAGCUUAAGCUCUCAGAGAAGUGACAAAUUUAUUGAUUAAAAUUGUUUUUAUAAUGCCCUUGCACUUGUAGACCAAAUUUAUUUUUUAAUCGAAGGCUUUUCAUAAAUGAGUGGCAAUGAGACUUGAACUUAAGAUAUUAUGUUGAACUGUCUCAUCUAAAAUCUUGAGCUCUUAGAAAAUGGCCAUAGUGAAUCAGGUUUUAACAAUAUUAAUGCAAGGCUGGAAUAUACAAUGAUCUUGAUUUUGAUACAUUUUAAAGACAAUCAAAAACAGCAUGAGGACUCCUUUGGUGGACUAUUAUGUAAGGAGAUCCUACUAGGGAAGUUAGGAUCAGUUCUUUUGUGUAGCCCGAAAUGAUACAAUGCUUCAAAAUAAUUACCACCCAUGACAAAACAAACACAUUGCUUAACCCUCUGUCAAAAACUUCUCUUCAUUGUGUCGCCAUGAAAUACGUAUAAUGGUUCUUUCAAAUUCAUAAAGCAGUACAUAAACCGAUAGGAACUAAGAAGAGCGAUGGUUACAGCAACACUCAACAACUCUUAAGUUCUAGUCACUUCUGCCCCUUCUUUCACUACUUUAUAGCUUUAAAUGAAUAAGCUUUGCACUUAUUUGAUAAUCAGUACAAACUAAAAUAAAUGGUGCAAAUGGCAUCACUCGACAACUCGUCCAGGUUCUAGAAGUUUCACAGCUUCCCCUGCCCCUCUUUCACUACUACACGUCUUUACACUACCAUAUCAACAAUUCUAACAAAAAACAAAACCUUACUCAACAAAUUUGGGCCGGCUAUAUGAAUCCAUUUUUACCACCAUUCAAUUCACGCUAAAUCUAUGGAAGAUUCAAGCAUCUAUAUCUUUAGCAACCACAACUAGCCCAUGUUAGUUUUUUGGUCAAAGUGCAUCAAAAAUGCCCAAAUGGGAAACACAUGAAGCCUAAGUGAAAGGUUGUGGCACAAUGAUGCAAUUGUGUGAGUUCACCAACUGACUUUUCUUUAUUGAUUUUAAAGUGUUAGCCGGUCCUUUAAAAACGCAAUUUCAAUUUAUAAAAUCGUGUUUCUUCUAAUGGAAGCUCAUGAUGAUGCCAUGUGUCAACCCCGUGUCCAUUGGAUGGCUGACCAUUUGGUGAGUCAUAUAAAAGGGAGUCAUAGGGUUGAGACGCGUGAUUUUUUCUGGUUUUCUAGAGCCUUCUCUCUACACUUUGACCGUUCGAGUUCAUCUUCUUCUUCUCUCUGAAAAUUAAAGAUCCUAUUUGAUUUUCAACACUUUCUCAAAUUUGAUUUUGUAAUCUUGAGUGAUUCUUUCUGAGAAGUGUUGUGAGUUCUUGUGUGAACCAAUUUUUCUGAAGUGAGAAGAUCGAAUCUUCUGUGAUCUUGGGUGAUUCUGGUCUGAGUGCGAAAACAUCCAAAUUUCUAAGCCUUGGUGUGUGAUCAACACUCGCAGUGGACUUCCUGGAGAAAACAACACAUAUAUUUUGCGAGAUUCCUCGAAUUGUUACUGCCUCAGGGCAUUUUAAUGAGAUCCCUUUUUUCUUGUGUUUCAAUCUUUUAUACUGCGCAUUUUAUUUUUGUUAAAUCUAAUAUUGUUGGAACCUCCUCUUUACACUAAGUAUAAAAAAUGCCUUCAAGAACCGAACGAGAAUCGUUCAUAGCAAUUUAUGAGCGACAAUUGUGAAUUCGUAUAAGCUCAUACAUUUCAUGACAUUCAUUGAAACUCUUCGCUACUAGAUCAGAAAACUAAAAGCAUCUAAUUCAUUCAAAUAGAAUAAAGAAAUAAUAGAGCAAACUAAAAGUCAUACAUGAACCAUAUUCGCAUUCGGGUUAAGACCCAAAUCCAACAAUGAUGGUAUCUCCCCAGGCUUCACACCCUCUCUGGCCGGCAAUCCUCUCAUCUGAUCAUUGCCUCAAUCGUCUUCCUCACCUCCAAUCCCUUCACUUUCUCCUUAAAACCUCCAUAAUUUGUAGGCGUUUCCUCCAACUUAACUGGCAAAUCCUCCAAAUGGUGUAAUGUGCUUCCCGAGAAGGACUUCACCUCCAGUGCCUCAUCCUUCAUCACAGUCUCUAUCUUUUCCUCGGCAUUCACCCAGUGGCGGCCCUAACUAUAGGCGAAGUAGGCGAUCGAGGCCCCCGCUUUGACAAGGUCCCAAAUUCUGUAAGAUUAAUUUGCUAGUCGAAGAAAAACGAAAAUUAUAUUAGUGAAAUUAUUUAAAAUAGAAUUGUCAUAUGUAAAAACAAGAAAUUAAUAAAAAAUGCAAAUUAAAAAAAAACGUAUAAAUGACAUAAAACUUAUACUUACAUUUAUUUAUUGUAUAAAUAUACCAUAAUCAUAACUUUCUCUCUAUAUAACUAAUUUGACCAUUUAUCUUUCAAACAUCCCUUUUCUUAUUCUUAAUAGACAAAAAGUCUUUUUUGUCUCUUCAAAUUCCAUUCUGACAGUCACUUGCCAUUAAUUUUUUUAAACCCAACAUAAAAUUAAUUCUUUCUUUGAAUUAAACUUUUGAAGUUAUUAGCAUACGGGUCUUCUCUCACUGCCAUUGCCUUUUUCUUUAACAAAAUUCGGUAAUCACUAAUCAGAUUUCAAAACUUAAUGUUUUUCAAUUCAUUUACAAAUUGUUUAUGCACAAUCAAAAUAGCAUGCUAGUAUGUCAUCAAAUGCCCGAAGAAUAGAUUAUAUAUGUAUUCAUAAUCCUAUCUACCAUUUUUGUCUCACUUUUUUUUUCUUUCCACACAGCAUUAUUAGAGGCAUCACUCAUCAGCAAACGGCAAAUCUAGAGGCUGCAGCCAUCUCUUAAGCGCACACAAUAAAGAAAAAAUGGCAUGAAAAUGAAUGGAGUUCUUAUCGUUCCUCUAAGUGAAAUCUUUUACCAGGUUUUAUUAUUUCUCAACUAAUUUAAAGUUUAAUCUUGUUUAGUUGUAUUGAUUUUUUUUGUUGUAUUGCUUUAAUAGUGGCAGCCCUGACUAUAGGCGAAAUAGGCGAUCGCCUAAGGCCCCGCUUUGAUGAGGGCCCCAAAUUCUGUAAGAUUAAUGGCUAGUCGAAGAAAAACGAAAAUUAUAUUAGUGAAAUUAUUUAAAAUAGAAUUGUCAUAUGCAAACACAAGAAAUUAAUAAAAAAUAAAAAUGCAAAUUUAAAAAAAAAAUAUAUAAAUGACACAAAAUUUAUACUUACAUUUAUUUAUUGUAUAAAUAUAUCAUAAUCAUAACUUUCUUUCUCUAUAUAACUAAUUUGACCAUUUAUCUUCCAAACAUCCCAUUUUUCUUUUCUGAAUAGACAAAAAGUCUUUUUUGUCUCUUCAAAUUUCAUUCCAACAGUCACUUACCAUUAAUUUUUUUAAACCCAACAUAAAAUUAAUUCUCUCUUUGAAUUAAAGUUUUGAAGAUAUUAGCAUACAGGUCUUCUCUCACUGCCAUUGCCUUUUUCUUUAACAAAAUCCGGUAAUCACUAAUCAGAUUUCAAAACUUAAUGUUUUUCAAUUCAUUGACAAAUUGUUUAUGCACAAUCAAAAUAGCAGGCUAGCAUGUCAUUAAAUGCCCAAAGAAUGGAUUAUAUAUGUGAAUAAUUAUAUCUACCAUUUUUGUCUCUAUUUUUUUUUCUUUCCACACAGCAUGAUUGGAGGCAUCACUCAUCAGCAAACGGCAAACCUGGAGGCUGCGGCCAUCUCUUAAGCGCACACAAUAAAGAAAAAAUGGCAUGGAAAUGAAUGGAGUUCUUAUCGUUCCUUUAAGUGAAAUCUUUUACCUGGUUUUAUUGUUUCUCAACUAAUUUAAAGUUUAAUCUUGUAUAGUUGUAUUGAUUUUGUUUUGUUGUAUUGCUUUAAUAUGUCUACUAAAAAGUAUUUGUUUGGACAUGAAAAAAGAAAAAAGAAAAAAAAAUCUGAAGAAUUUAUUCAAUCUCAAGUAGUAGCUAUGGACAAAUUUCUUGGUAGUAAUAUUAAUAAUAAAAGAGAAAGUCCGAUGAAAAAUUUGGUUGAUGAAGAAUUUGAAAAUGAAAAGUUUCAAAGUGAAGAUAAUAUGAAUAGAAAGCAUGAAAUUUCUGUGGAUCACGAGCAAGAAAAUUUGGAGGAAAUUGAAAAAUGUGUACCUUUGCAUUUCGACAUUAAUGAUCCGGGAAAUUGAAAAACUAUUGAUCAAAGCUUGAUCGACUUGUUAGUGAAAAGAGGCCCCCUUAGGCAGAAUGGUUUUGUUUUUCCAAAAGAUUAAGAAAAUAGACAUUUCUCUUCUACAUAUUAUAUUCGGCAUUUUGCAAAUGGUGAGAAAAGUGAUAGAAAAUGGUUGGUCUACUCAACUUCAUUGGAUAAAUUAUUUUGCUUUUGUUAUAAAUUGUUUAAGCAAGAAGGAAACAAUAUUCAAUUAGCUAAUGAAGGAAUCAAUGAUUGAAAAAAUCUUAGUUUCUGACUUAAAAGUCAUGAAACUGGUAAUGGACACAUGCAUAACAUGAGAAGAUGGAUUGAAUUGGAAAGGAGAUUACAACAGAAUCUAACAACUGAUAAAUCUAUGCAAGAUCUAAUCAACGAAGAUAGAGAACAUUGGAGAGAAGUUUUGUGAGGAUAAUUUCUAUUGUUGGCUUUCUAUGCAAGAAUAAUCUGGCAUUCAGGGGACUAAUGAGAAAAUUUAUGAAAAAGAUAAUGAGAAUUUUUCAGGUCUAAUUGAAAUGAUUGCAGAGUUCGAUCCAAUUUUGAGGGAACACAUCCAUUAUGUUCAAGAAAAAGAAAUCCAUUAUCAUUAUCUUAGUCACAAAAUUCAAAAUGAAUUCAUACUCAUGCUGGCUAGAGAAAUUAAAAGUGUAAUCAUUCAAAAUGUUAGAUGAGCAAAAUAUUUUUUAGUUAUACUUGAUCGUACACCAGAUAUAAGUCAUGAAGAACAAAUGUCACUCAUAACACGUUAUGUAGAUGUCAUAGCAACUCCAGCAAUUUUUUUGGGAAAGAGAUAUAUAAAAUGAGAGGGAAGAACAGUGAAAACUGAUGGCGAAAUUGAAGCUAUAGGAAUAGAAGAAAUUUGGGUUGGAUUUUGCUCCUGUGAAGGAGCUUGAUAUACAAGUUUUCCGUAUAAAUUUGGAGUGCAGUUAAUUAAUGGUGACUCAACUUUGGUUACUACUUAGUCUCCAAAAUUUAAAAGAUUACUCUUUAUUCACUAGACUCUGUUAUAGGUGAGGACUUGCUCAUCAAAAUUUAAAGAGUUACUUAUUGCUCAUUCAAAUUUGAAUGAAGUUACCGAUCGUGUUACUUAUUAUAAAAUUAAGUGAACAACAAGUAACUUUAUUUAAAUUUAAAUGAAUAAUAAAUAACCUUUAAAUUUUGAUGAGUAAAUAAUAACCUAUAGAAAUUUUGAGUGAGCAACGAGUAAUAUUUUAAAGAUCAGUAAGCAAGUAGUAACUUAUACUAAAUUUCAGCGAACAUUCAUUAUAAUUAUCUCUAUAAAUUUGGAUUUUGGAAUCCAUUUUUGUUGAACAGAGAAGAUGAAGAUAAGAGCAUUUCCAACCAUCCCAUUGUACCAUAAUUGAACCAAAUUUUUGGUGCAAAUCUCCUCGACCCAUUGUACCAUUUUGGUGCAAAUGAAUAGUAAAAUACCUUGUUACCACUCUAUUUUACUUUGCACCGAUUUUUUUAAGGGUAUAUUUAUCCAUUUCUUAUACAAAAUUUAUUAUUAUUAUUAUUAUUAUUAUUAUUAUUAUUAUUAUUAUUAUUAUUGUGUGCAUUUGUGAUAUUACAAUUCGAAACGUACUUAACUCUUUUUUAUUAUUAUGAUUUAGUAUUUUCUUAGUUGUUGUGUCUCUAUUAAUUGUACUACAUUUUUCUAAAUUUAUUAAUGAAUUCAAUAUUUUUGUUAACUAAAAAUAAUAAUUUAUUUAGUAAUAAAAUAAGUAAAUUAUCAAUAAUAAAAUAAAUAAAUUAUCAAGAAUUAAAAAAAUGAAGAAAAUUAUUAAACACUAUUCACUUGG